rnacentral:tRNA from 1 species
UGGGAUAUAGCUCAGUGGUAGAGCAUUUGCCUAGCUUGCAUGAGGCCCAGGGUUCAACCCCCAAUCCCAC